GCCUAAGGGACCUUGUGUGGCACCAGGCACUCAUAUUCAGGCACCUGGAUUCUACUCUUAAGAUCAGUUGAGGUGAAUGUCCCACAAGGGGCCUGAAACUUUUGCCUUGAACCAGUAUGUUUUUAUAUACAAACUGAACAUAAAAUGCCAUUGUCCACCCUGCUGUGGCUCAAAGUCAGACUGGCUGUGUGGAGCCAGUCAGUGGGGCACCAGCCAGGAACCCACCACCCCAGUGGAGGAUAGGCAACUCAUGGACAGGUUGAGGCUGGGAUGGAAUAUCAGUCCAUGGGACGGGAUCAGGAUCAGGCGCAGUGAGGGGAAGAGAGGUCAGACACAGACCAUGAUGGCCAGGUUUGGUUUCAGACAUGUCAUCCUAUGGACACAGGGAUGGGGGAUGCCCUCAUCUGUGCCAGCACUGCACUGCCCUGAGCCUGAUGGCUAGUUCCUGGAGUAGGGGAUGCAUACGGGGCCCUGCUACUGUCACUGUGGUUCCUUGUAGCUCUGCAGCUCCUUCUGCAAACACCAGUGUGUGCCCACUGUCCCCUUUGAAAUAUCUGAGAAGCAAAUAUCUGCCUCUAAAGUGCACCUGCUAGUCCUUUUGAAUUCAGUAAAAAGCAGAGCAGAUUCGUAGAAUGUGCUUUCUCAAAUGAUGAACUUGCUUCAGGUACACUUGUUGUUAUUGACAUAAGUGACAGUAAGUUAUAAGGACAUGGAAUUAUUUUAUACCUUCUGUGUUUGUAAAGCAGUGCUAAAAAUCUUAAUUCUGCUACAUGACGUUUUGUGGUUUUAUAUGCAGAAGGAGUGUAAAACCCACCAUCAGACUGAAGAACUUCUUGUUGCACGUUUCUGCAUCAUUACUGAGGUUUUGCAACAGUUUUCUGUAUAAAAACAUUCCUAAAAUAACUGUAUGGUUCCUGCAUCUUAUCCAUAGCUGUAUCAGGAGAUGUGUAGGAGGUGUCAACAAAACCACUAGGUGAAUUUGAAUACCUGAUUAGUAUAGUGGGAGCUUUGUUAAUUAUUUGCAAGAAUGUAACUAUUCUAAAAUGUGUUUAAGAUAACAGCUUCCAUGUUUAAUUCUUGUUAUGGUCUUCUGUUGUAUACCAAAUGAUGGCACUGAGGAAAUUACCAAGACACCCACCAAAGGCACUUGCUCUCCCAUGAGUGGAUCAUUUUCUCAUUCUUAUGCAGAGUCUGUCAUGGCUUAUGCUUGUAGCUGUUGCAAGACCGGAUGAAAAAUUGAAGAAUGGAAGGAAUGCGCAAAGAAACACUGCACUCUUCCCCUGGAGAGUAUAUAUCAUUGAAGCAGCUUUUGAUUGUAUUGUCCCAUUGCUCAUGUUGAGACCAAUAUCUAAAAAUAGAAAUCUCAUUAAUAAAGAUAAAUAAGUGGCAUGUUUAACACAACUAAAUUAAAUGUAUAAGUCUCAAGCAAAGAUCCUCUUAACAGUGUUAAUUCAUUAAACUACAGGUGGUCUCACCAUGAGGGCAUUAUA